UUAGAAGAUUUCAUUUUCCUGCC
rnacentral:piRNA from 1 species